rnacentral:tRNA from 1 species
GGAGAGGUGACCGAGAGGCCGAAGGUGCUCGCCUGCUAAGCGAGUGUAGGGUUUAUCCCCUACCGAGGGUUCGAAUCCCUCCCUCUCCG